GAGCACUACGGCGUCUUACCAUGCAAGUCGAACGAUGAACCUCCUUCGGGAGGGGAUUAGUGGCGAACGGGUGAGUAACACGUGGGCAAUCUGCCCUGCACUCUGGGACAAGCCCUGGAAACGGGGUCUAAUACCGGAUACGACUCGGGAGGGCAUCCUUCCGGGUGGAAAGCUCCGGCGGUGCAGGAUGAGCCCGCGGCCUAUCAGCUUGUUGGUGGGGUGAUGGCCUACCAAGGCGACGACGGGUAGCCGGCCUGAGAGGGCGACCGGCCACACUGGGACUGAGACACGGCCCAGACUCCUACGGGAGGCAGCAGUGGGGAAUAUUGCACAAUGGGCGAAAGCCUGAUGCAGCGACGCCGCGUGAGGGAUGACGGCCUUCGGGUUGUAAACCUCUUUCAGCAGGGAAGAAGCGCAAGUGACGGUACCUGCAGAAGAAGCGCCGGCUAACUACGUGCCAGCAGCCGCGGUAAUACGUAGGGCGCAAGCGUUGUCCGGAAUUAUUGGGCGUAAAGAGCUCGUAGGCGGCUUGUCGCGUCGGAUGUGAAAGCUCGGGGCUUAACCCCGGGUCUGCAUUCGAUACGGGCAGGCUAUAGG
rnacentral:rRNA from 1 species